GAUGAACGCUGGCGGCGUGCUUAACACAUGCAAGUCGAACGAAGCACUUUCUUACGAUCCCUUCGGGGUGACGAGUUAGUGACUGAGUGGCGGACGGGUGAGUAACGCGUGGGUAACCUGCCUUAUACAGGGGGAUAACAGUUGGAAACGGCUGCUAAUACCGCAUAAGCGCACAGUACCGCAUGGUACAGUGUGAAAAACUCCGGUGGUAUAAGAUGGACCCGCGUCUGAUUAGCUAGUUGGUGAGGUAACGGCCCACCAAGGCGACGAUCAGUAGCCGAUCUGAGAGGAUGAACGGCCACAUUGGGACUGAGACACGGCCCAGACUCCUACGGGAGGCAGCUAGUGGGGAAUAUUGCACAAUGGGCGAAAGCCUGAUGCAGCGACGCCGCGUGAGUGAUGAAGUAUUUCGGUAUGUAAAGCUCUAUCAGCAGGGAAGAUAAUGACGGAC
rnacentral:rRNA from 1 species